rnacentral:rRNA from 1 species
UACGAAGGGUGCAAGCGUUAAUCGGAAUUACUGGGCGUAAAGGGUGCGUAGGCGGUUCGUUAAGUCUGUCGUGAAAUCCCCGGGCUCAACCUGGGAAUGGCGAUGGAUACUGGCGAGCUAGAGUGUGUCAGAGGAUGGUGGAAUUCCCGGUGUAGCGGUGAAAUGCGUAGGGAUCGGGAGGAACAUCAGUGGCGAAGGCGGCCAUCUGGGACAACACUGACGCUGAAGCACGAAAGCGUGGGGAGCAAACAGG